GACGAACGCUGGCGGCGUGCUUAACACAUGCAAGUCGAACGGUGAACCACUUCGGUGGGGAUCAGUGGCGAACGGGUGAGUAACACGUGGGCAACCUGCCCUUAGCUCUGGGAUAACCCCGGGAAACCGGGGCUAAUACCGGAUACGACCUCGAGCGGCAUCACUCGAGGUGGAAAGAACUUCGGCUAAGGAUGGGCCCGCGGCCUAUCAGCUUGUUGGUGGGGUAACGGCCUACCAAGGCGACGACGGGUAGCCGGCCUGAGAGGGCGACCGGCCACACUGGGACUGAGACACGGCCCAGACUCCUACGGGAGGCAGCAGUGGGGAAUAUUGCGCAAUGGGCGAAAGCCUGACGCAGCGACGCCGCGUGAGGGACGAAGGCC
rnacentral:rRNA from 1 species